UGUUACGUCAGAGGCUGCUAGGCCCACCCUAGGGAAAAGAGGCCAAGGGAAGGCCAGGACGAAGGAGGCAAGAGGGGCAUUCAUGUGUGGUUCGCUCUCUCAGCCACUCAAAACUGUCUACCAAGCACCUGCCAUUUUUCAGGUGUGCCAGGCAUGCAGGGCUCAGGUGCAAUGGAAGUUCCUAGGAGUGGAAAGGAAUAAGUAGAGAGAAGGAUUAACUCCGUCUAGGGAAAAAGAGGCAGGGCUCACAGUAGGUCCGUCUGAGCGGGUGCUAGCAGUUCAGAAGGCACUGAUGUGUCUAACAGCACAUGGAUAGGUCAAGGGCAACCGGAAGCAGAAGGGGAAGAUGCACCUGGAGCUGUCUGAGCUGGAUGCCCAGGGAUUGGGGACCGGGGAGUGAAGCCAAAGCAGGGGUGGGACAGUGAGGCUCCCCUCUCCUCCCCUUCAACCACAAGGGCUGCAGAAAGAGAGUAACAACAUUGUCUUCAGAGGAGGAGGCAAGAGCCGUUGGAGGCGGCACUGGCUCAGUCUGUCUGGCUGUGGGCAGGGCAGGAUGUGAACCGGAGUGAGAUGGGAGGAAGACUUUUGUUCACCGUACGGAGGGGAGAGAGGCCAGCCCUACAGCCCGGCCCGGCCCCUCCCCUGCAAACCCCACAGUCAUCAGCCUUCAGCCCCGCCCCAACCUGCCAGCCUGGAUGGACUUGGUCCCUGGCCCUCCAAGACCCUGUCCUCACCCCAGAAGGCUAGAUAGUGGGGAGCCAGGAAUCUCUGGUAGGACCCAGCAUGCUCUGGGGCAGGGCCCGCAGGACAUAGAUACCGUGUUUCCCCGAAAAUAAGACCUAGUGAUGGGCGUGGCUACGCAGCACAUCUG